GACGAACGCUGGCGGCGUGCUUAACACAUGCAAGUCGAACGGUGAUCUUGGGAGCUUGCUCCUGGGUGAUCAGUGGCGAACGGGUGAGUAACACGUGAGUAACCUGCCCCUGACUCUGGAAUAACUUCGGGAGACCGAAGCUAAUACCGGAUAUGACACAGAGCCGCAUGGUUUCUGUGUGGAAAGUUUUUUCGGUUGGGGGUGGACUCGCGGCCUAUCAGCUUGUUGGUGAGGUAAUGGCUCACCAAGGCGACGACGGGUAGCCGGCCUGAGAGGGCGACCGGCCACACUGGGACUGAGACACGGCCCAGACUCCUACGGGAGGCAGCAGUGGGGAAUAUUGCACAAUGGGCGAAAGCCUGAUGCAGCGACGCCGCGUGAGGGAUGAAGGCCUUCGGGUUGUAAACCUCUUUCAGUAGGGAAGAAGCGCAAGUGACGGUACCUACAGAAGAAGCACCGGCUAACUACGUGCCAGCCGCCGCAGUAAAAC
rnacentral:rRNA from 1 species